rnacentral:rRNA from 1 species
GAUGAACGCUAGCGGCAGGCUUAACACAUGCAAGUCGAGGGGGGAACGAUUGGAGCUUGCUUCAAGGCGACGACCGGCGCACGGGUGCGUAACGCGUAUAGAACCUACCUUUUACAGAGGAAUAGCCCAGAGAAAUUUGGAUUAAUGCCUCAUGGUAUUAUUUGAUGGCAUCAUUAAAUAAUUAAACAUUUAUGGGUAAAAGAUGGCUAUGCGUCUUAUUAGUUAGUUGGUAAGGUAACGGCUUACCAAGACAUCGAUAAGUAGGGGUCCUGAGAGGGAGAUCCCCCACACUGGUACUGAGACACGGACCAGACUCCUACGGGAGGCAGCAGUGAGGAAUAUUGGACAAUGGAGGCAACUCUGAUCCAGCCAUGCCGCGUGUAGGAAGACUGCCCUAUGGGUUGUAAACUACUUUUAUAUGGGAAGAAACCAUUCUACGUGUAGAAUAUUGACGGUACCAUAAGAAUAAGGAUCGGCUAACUCCGUGCCAGCAGCCGCGGUAAUACGGAGGAUCCAAGCGUUAUCCGGAAUCAUUGGGUUUAAAGGGUCCGUAGGCGGAUUUAUAAGUCAGUGGUGAAAGUUUGCGGCUCAACCGUAAAAUUGCCAUUGAUACUGUAAGUCUUGAAUUACUAUGAAGUGGUUAGAAUAAGUAGUGUAGCGGUGAAAUGCAUAGAUAUUACUUAGAAUACCGAUUGCGAAGGCAGAUCACUAAUAGUAUAUGA